UCCUAGCAGUAAAUGAUGCAUACUUGGUGUUACAUAAACUUAGAGUUUAUGUAGUGCUGUAGCGUAGGUGUUAAGUAUGCCACCUGGGGAGUACGAUCGCAAGGUUGAAACUUAAAGGAAUUGGCGGGGGAGCACCACCAGGGGUGGAGGCUACGGUUUAAUUGGAUACAACGCCGCAAAUAUCACCGGGGGCGACGGCAGGAUGAAGGUCAGACUAAAGAUCUUACCUGACG
rnacentral:rRNA from 1 species